CGCUAGAGUGAGAGGACAUUAUGAAGAUACCAUGGAUCCAUGAAAAGGGACCUUUAUUGGCCUACAAGGGCUUGAGCUUCAGGACUCCUGAGACCUCUGGUGCCACCCCAUGAAACUUCAGCUGGAGAGGAAAUCAGCCGUCCUGCAAGCCCACAGACCUCUCCCUUGUCAGUGCAAAUAAAACCUAAGGAGAUUCAGGAUGAUUCUGGAACAACAGCAAGCUACAGGACCAUGCUGGUCUGCAGGAGUGACUGUUCCUGAGCAUACAACCAUGACCCUCUGCCUGUAUUCCACUCAUGCCUCUGUUCCUCGUACAUUCACUAAAAGUUUCACAUGAGCUUUUGGUUACUCCAUGAUGCCCACUGAACUUUUGUAAAUUAUGGU